rnacentral:snoRNA from 1 species
CUGCAGUACUGUGUGCAUAGUUGUUCAUCUGUGUCUGGUGGUAUAGUCUAUUUGUGUUCUACAUUUAGACUGUACUACUCACACAAAACCUGUGGCCAAAGAUGAACUUGAGAUCAUAGUACUGGUCUAGUGACGUCUGAAUGACAUGCCUCCCACUGGCCAGCCUCCAUACUCUCAAACAUCU